rnacentral:rRNA from 1 species
GAUUAUGGCUCAGGAUGAACGCUAGCUACAGGCUUAACACAUGCAAGUCGAGGGGCAGCAUGAUCAAAGCUUGCUUUGAUUGAUGGCGACCGGCGCACGGGUGAGUAACGCGUAUCCAACCUUCCCCUUAGUAGGGCAUAGCCCGUAGAAAUGCGGAUUAAUACCCUAUGUUAUUCGUCGAGGACAUCUGAAAUGAAUUAAAGGUUUACCGCUAAGGGAUGGGGAUGCGUCCGAUUAGGCAGCAGGCGGGGUAACGGCCCACCUGGCCAACGAUCGGUAGGGGUUCUGAGAGGAAGGUCCCCCACAUUGGAACUGAGACACGGUCCAAACUCCUACGGGAGGCAGCAGUGAGGAAUAUUGGUCAAUGGGCGAGAGCCUGAACCAGCCAAGUAGCGUGCAGGAUGACGGCCCUAUGGGUUGUAAACUGCUUUUAUGCGGGGAUAAAGUCACCCACGUGUGGGUGUUUGUAGGUACCGCAUGAAUAAGGACCGGCUAAUUCCGUGCCAGCCGCUGC